GACCUACGGGGGGCAGCAGUGGGGAAUAUUGCACAAUGGGGGAAACCCUGAUGCAGCAACGCCGCGUGAAGGAAGACGGUUUUCGGAUUGUAAACUUCUGUUCUUAGUGAAGGAAAAUGACGGUAGCUAAGAAGCAAGCCACGGCUAACUAGGUGCCAGCAGCCGCGGUAAUACGUAGGUGGCAGGCGUUUUCCGGAAUUACUGGGUGUAAAGGGAGCGCAGGCGGGAAG
rnacentral:rRNA from 1 species